GAUGGUGAGAGCAACAAGAGGGGUGUUAGAAGGAGCAUGGUAUUUCGAGAUUAAGGUAGUGAAAUUAGGUGACACAGGGCAUACACGACUUGGGUGGUCAACAGAUAAAGGGGAUUUGCAAGCACCUGUUGGAUAUGAUGGGAAUAGUUUUGGUUAUAGAGAUAUUGAUGGUAGCAAGAUUCAUAAAGCAUUAAGGGAGAAAUACGGGGAAGAAGGAUAUGGAGAAGGUGAUGUUAUUGGCUUGUAUAUCAAUUUGCCUGAAGGUGCUCAAUAUGCCCCAAAACCGCCUCGGCUUGUUUGGUAUAAGGGACAGAGAUAUAUGUGUGCAGCUGAUCCUAAAGAAGAUCCUCCUAAAAUAAUUCCUGGUAUGUCACUGACAACUAGCUUAAUUGUUCCACUUUAUU
rnacentral:misc_RNA from 1 species